AUGCACGCUGGCGGCGUGCCUAAUACAUGCAAGUCGCGCGAACAGACGAGGAGCUUGCUCCUCUGACGUUAGCGGCGGACGGGUGAGUAACACGUGGAUAACCUACCUAUAAGACUGGGAUAACUUCGGGAAACCGGAGCUAAUACCGGAUAACAUGUUGAACCGCAUGGUUCCACAGUGAAAGACGGUCUUGCUGUCCCUUAUAGAUGGAUCCGCGCCGCAUUAGCUAGUUGGUAAGGUAACGGCUUACCAAGGCAACGAUGCGUAGCCGACCUGAGAGGGUGAUCGGCCACACUGGAACUGAGACACGGUCCAGACUCCUACGGGAGGCAGCAGUAGGGAAUCUUCCGCAAUGGGCGAAAGCCUGACGGAGCAACGCCGCGUGAGUGAAGAAGGUCUUCGGAUCGUAAAACUCUGUUAUUAGGGAAGAACAAAUGUGUAAGUAACUAUGCACGUCUUGACGGUACCUAAUCAGAAAGCCACGGCUAACUACGUG
rnacentral:rRNA from 1 species